CAGAACGAACGCUGGCGGCGUGCUUAACACAUGCAAGUCGCGUGCGCAGUUUCCUGUAGCAAUACAGGGGAUGGGCGCACGGCGCACGGGUGCGUAACACGUGGGCAAUCUGCCCUCCGAUGGGGAAUAACCCCCGCGAAAGCGGGGCUAAUACCGCAUAACAUUCCUUGAGCGAUGGUUUGAGGAUUCAAAGCAGUAAUGCGUCGGAGGAGGAGCCCGCGCCCGAUUAGCUAGUUGGUGAGGUAACGGCUCACCAAGGCAAUGAUCGGUAGCUGGUCUGAGAGGAUGAUCAGCCACACUGGAACUGAGACACGGUCCAGACUCCUACGGGAGGCAGCAGUGGGGAAUCUUGCACAAUGGGCGAAAGCCUGAUGCAAGCGACGCCGCGUGGGGGAUGAAGCUUCUCGGAGUGUAAACCCCUUUCGCCUGGGACGAAUGCCCGCAAGGGAGUGACGGUACCAGGAUAAGAAGCCCCGGCUAACUACGUGCCAGCCGCCGC
rnacentral:rRNA from 1 species